CCUACGGGAGGCAGCAGUGGGGAAUAUUGGACAAUGGGCGAAAGCCUGAUCCAGCAAUGCCGCGUGAGUGAUGAAGGCCUUAGGGUUGUAAAGCUCUUUUACCAGGGAUGAUAAUGACAGUACCUGGAGAAUAAGCUCCGGCUAACUCCGUGCCAGCAGCCGCGGUAAUACGGAGGGAGCUAGCGUUGUUCGGAAUUACUGGGCGUAAAGCGUACGUAGGCGGUUAUUCAAGUCAGAGGUGAAAGCCUGGAGCUCAACUCCAGAACUGCCUUUGAAACUAGAUAGCUAGAAUCUUGGAGAGGUGAGUGGAAUUCCGAGUGUAGAGGUGAAAUUCGUAGAUAUUCGGAAGAACACCAGUGGCGAAGGCGACUCACUGGACAAGUAUUGACGCUGAGGUACGAAAGCGUGGGGAGCAAACAGGAUUAGAUACCCUGGUAGUCCACGCCGUUAAACGAUGAUAACUAGCUGUUCGGGCUCGUACGUACGCUGUAGUGGUCGCGAGACUACG
rnacentral:rRNA from 1 species